rnacentral:rRNA from 1 species
AGUGAACGCUGGCGGUAGGCCUAACACAUGCAAGUCGAACGGCAGCACAGUAAGAGCUUGCUCUUACGGGUGGCGAGUGGCGGACGGGUGAGGAAUACAUCGGAAUCUACUUUUUCGUGGGGGAUAACGUAGGGAAACUUACGCUAAUACCGCAUACGACCUACGGGUGAAGGCAGGGGAUCUUCGGACCUUGCGCGAUUGAAUGAGCCGAUGUCGGAUUAGCUAGUUGGCGGGGUAAAGGCCCACCAAGGCGACGAUCCGUAGCUGGUCUGAGAGGAUGAUCAGCCAAACUGGAACUGAGACACGGUCCAGACUCCUACGGGAGGCAGCAGUGGGGAAUAUUGGACAAUGGGCGCAAGCCUGCUCCAGCCAUACCGCGUGGGUGAAGAAGGCCUUCGGGUUGUAAAGCCCUUUUGUUGGGAAAGAAAAGCAGCAGGUUAAUACCCCGCUGUUCUGACGGUACCCAAAGAAUAAGCACCGGCUAACUUCGUG